rnacentral:rRNA from 1 species
GGUUAAGCGACUAAGCGUACACGGUGGAUGCCCUGGCAGUCAGAGGCGAUGAAGGGCGUGCUAAUCUGCGAUAAGCGCCGGUAAGGUGAUAUGAACCGUUAUAACCGGCGAUACCCGAAUGGGGAAACCCAGUGUGACUCGUCACACUAUCAUUAACUGAAUCCAUAGGUUAAUGAGGCGAACCGGGGGAACUGAAACAUCUAAGUACCCCGAGGAAAAGAAAUCAACCGAGAUUCCCCCAGUAGCGGCGAGCGAACGGGGAGGAGCCCAGAGCCUGAAUCAGCAUGUGUGUUAGUGGAAGCGUCUGGAAAGGCGCGCGAUACAGGGUGACAGCCCCGUACACAAAAGCGCAUGUGCUGUGAGCUCGAUGAGUAGGGCGGGACACGUGGUAUCCUGUCUGAAUAUGGGGGGACCAUCCUCCAAGGCUAAAUACUCCUGACUGACCGAUAGUGAACCAGUACCGUGAGGGAAAGGCGAAAAGAACCCCGGCGAGGGGAGUGAAAAAGAACCUGAAACCGUGUACGUACAAGCAGUGGGAGCCCCACCACUAAGCCAGUGGUGAACUCCACAUACGCAUCCUUUGCUGAGGAUACGGUUAACGGAGCGAAAGCGACGUUCAACCGCAAAAGAAGCAGAGGGGGCUUAGUGGUGGGGUGACUGCGUACCUUUUGUAUAAUGGGUCAGCGACUUAUAUUCUGUAGCAAGGUUAACCGAAUAGGGGAGCCGGAGGGAAACCGAGUCUUAAUUGGGCGUUAAGUUGCAGGGUAUAGACCCGAAACCCGGUGAUCUAGCCAUGGGCAGGUUGAAGGUUGGGUAACACUAACUGGAGGACCGAACCGACUAAUGUUGAAAAAUUAGCGGAUGACCUGUGGCUGGGGGUGAAAGGCCAAUCAAACCGGGAGAUAGCUGGUUCUCCCCGAAAGCUAUUUAGGUAGCGCCUCGUGAAUUCAUCUCCGGGGGUAGAGCACUGUUUCGGCUAGGGGGCCAUCCCGGCUUACCAACCCGAUGCAAACUGCGAAUACCGGAGAAUGUUAUCACGGGAGACACACGGCGGGUGCUAACGUCCGUCGUGAAGAGGGAAACAACCCAGACCGCCAGCUAAGGUCCCAAAGUCAUGGUUAAGUGGGAAACGAUGUGGGAAGGCCCAGACAGCCAGGAUGUUGGCUUAGAAGCAGCCAUCAUUUAAAGAAAGCGUAAUAGCUCACUGGUCGAGUCGGCCUGCGCGGAAGAUGUAACGGGGCUAAACCAUGCACCGAAGCUGCGGCAGCGACACUCAGGUGUUGUUGGGUAGGGGAGCGUUCUGUAAGCCUGUGAAGGUGUGUCGUGAGGCAUGCUGGAGGUAUCAGAAGUGCGAAUGCUGACAUAAGUAACGAUAAAGCGGGUGAAAAGCCCGCUCGCCGGAAGACCAAGGGUUCCUGUCCAACGUUAAUCGGGGCAGGGUGAGUCGACCCCUAAGGCGAGGCCGAAAGGCGUAGUCGAUGGGAAACGGGUUAAUAUUCCCGUACUUGGUGUUACUGCGAAGGGGGGACGGAGAAGGCUAUGUUGGCCGGGCGACGGUUGUCCCGGUUUAAGCGUGUAGGUGUGUGUUCCAGGUAAAUCCGGUUCACUUUAACACUGAGGCGUGACGACGAGGCACUACGGUGCUGAAGCAACAAAUGCCCUGCUUCCAGGAAAAGCCUCUAAGCAUCAGGUAACAUCAAAUCGUACCCCAAACCGACACAGGUGGUCAGGUAGAGAAUACCAAGGCGCUUGAGAGAACUCGGGUGAAGGAACUAGGCAAAAUGGUGCCGUAACUUCGGGAGAAGGCACGCUGACAUGUAGGUGAAGUGAUUUACUCAUGGAGCUGAAGUCAGUCGAAGAUACCAGCUGGCUGCAACUGUUUAUUAAAAACACAGCACUGUGCAAACACGAAAGUGGACGUAUACGGUGUGACGCCUGCCCGGUGCCGGAAGGUUAAUUGAUGGGGUCAGCGCAAGCGAAGCUCCUGAUCGAAGCCCCGGUAAACGGCGGCCGUAACUAUAACGGUCCUAAGGUAGCGAAAUUCCUUGUCGGGUAAGUUCCGACCUGCACGAAUGGCGUAAUGAUGGCCAGGCUGUCUCCACCCGAGACUCAGUGAAAUUGAACUCGCUGUGAAGAUGCAGUGUACCCGCGGCAAGACGGAAAGACCCCGUGAACCUUUACUAUAGCUUGACACUGAACAUUGAGCCUUGAUGUGUAGGAUAGGUGGGAGGCUUUGAAGCGUGGACGCCAGUCUGCGUGGAGCCGACCUUGAAAUACCACCCUUUAAUGUUUGAUGUUCUAACGUGGACCCGUAAUCCGGGUUGCGGACAGUGUCUGGUGGGUAGUUUGACUGGGGCGGUCUCCUCCUAAAGAGUAACGGAGGAGCACGAAGGUUGGCUAAUCCUGGUCGGACAUCAGGAGGUUAGUGCAAUGGCAUAAGCCAGCUUGACUGCGAGCGUGACGGCGCGAGCAGGUGCGAAAGCAGGUCAUAGUGAUCCGGUGGUUCUGAAUGGAAGGGCCAUCGCUCAACGGAUAAAAGGUACUCCGGGGAUAACAGGCUGAUACCGCCCAAGAGUUCAUAUCGACGGCGGUGUUUGGCACCUCGAUGUCGGCUCAUCACAUCCUGGGGCUGAAGUAGGUCCCAAGGGUAUGGCUGUUCGCCAUUUAAAGUGGUACGCGAGCUGGGUUUAGAACGUCGUGAGACAGUUCGGUCCCUAUCUGCCGUGGGCGCUGGAGAACUGAGGGGGGCUGCUCCUAGUACGAGAGGACCGGAGUGGACGCAUCACUGGUGUUCGGGUUGUCAUGCCAAUGGCACUGCCCGGUAGCUAAAUGCGGAAGAGAUAAGUGCUGAAAGCAUCUAAGCACGAAACUUGCCCCGAGAUGAGUUCUCCCUGAGACUUAGAGUCUCCUGAAGGAACGUUGAAGACGACGACGUUGAUAGGCCGGGUGUGUAAGCGCAGCGAUGCGUUGAGCUAACCGGUACUAAUGAACCGUGAGGCUUAACCUU